AUGUUGCAUUAGUUUCAGGUCUACAGCAAAGUGAAUCAGUUGUAUAUAUGUGUGUAUAUAUAUAUAUAUAUUCUUAAUUGAAAGCUUCUGAGGAAGGAAAUAAAAUCUCAUAUAAAGGACUUUUUUUCUGGAUUUUAUGAAAUACACAAGGUGUCCUUUGGUAGCAUUAGUUUUUAUUUAAUGGGUUUGUUAAGAAAGCUUGGCCAUAUUGCCAUUGCUAUUGUCUACUUUUCUGACUAGUGCUUUAUAUGAUCUCUUGGCAAAAAGGAAGGAUAAGUCUGUAGCUAAAUAAAGUUCAUCAACCAUAAUCCCCUGUUUGCAUUUAGGAACAAAUUCAAAGACAGAAUAAAUACAGAUAAAAAAUGGCUUAGCAGGAGUUGUUGCUGUGGCACAGUGGGUUAAGAAUCCAACUGCAGUGGCUCAGGUAGCUGUGGAGGCAUGGGUUCCAUCCCAGGCCUGGUGCAGAAGUUUAAAGGAUCUGGUGUUGCUCUAAGACCAUUGUUACCACAGCAGAUAUUCAAGACCUCUUAUACAGUGAUUUCUACUUCUAGAUGGUUACUCCAACAAAAGAGUAAAUUCAAAUUCAGCAGAAUUCUAUAAAAAGAUUUCUGUAGGAUUUCAAAAGCUGACUUCACACUUGAUUCAGCUGGAAAUUGUUGAACCUCUUGAGUUGAAGUGUACUGAGUUGAAAGAACAGGAAAGGUGAGGUGAAAAGACAUAACUUCUUUUUCUGUUGUCAGAGUAACAAGAAUAAGAGUUUUUCUUUCUUUUUUUUUUUUUUGGUCUUUUUGUCUUGGUAGGGCCACACCCUCGGCAUAUGGAGGUUCCCAGGCUAGAGGUCUAAUUGGAGCUGUAGCUGCCGGCCUACACCACAGCUCACGGCAAUGCUGGAUCCUUAACCCACUGAGGGGGGCCAUGGAUCGAACUGGCAACCUCAUGAUUCCUAGUCUGAUUCAUUUCCACUGUGCCACGAAGGGAACUCCAAGUUUUUCAAUUUUAAACUGUUUAAUUCCCUUUUCUGCUCUCCUUUCCUUACCUCAGGUGAGAAAAAAAAACUUUGGUCUCUAGUCUAAUCCAUGCAUGUCGCAAAUGGUCAUUUGCUUCCAGUUACAUGGUUAACAUACUUGAGUCUUUGUUCCUGUGGCUGGCUUAAGUUUGCCCUUGAUGCACACAGGAAAUAAGUAAAUUUGGCAACUGGGAUUUACUUGAUCUUUCCGGCCAGAUUGGCAUACCACAGUUUCUUUGCUUUGGCUAAUUGCUUCAAACAUUCACAUGAUAGACCUUUUCUUGGAUAUAUUCCUACAGCUUUGUUCCAGUAGGCUAAAAUGCAGUUCUAAGAACUUUUAAUAGUGAAUAUCCCAGGAAUGUAACCCUAAGGAGACGGGUGGGUAGGAGUUUGGGGAAAGUUGUUUAGAAAGCAGAGAAAGUAAAAAGAGGUGAGAGGUCAGGCAGUUUAUGGGCAAACAAUGGACCCUGGCCCAGAACCAGACUCUUGCCCCAUCCUUCUGGGCAGGGGGGUGGGAUGGUACUGCCACGGAGGUUAAAGGAAGGUCAGGUAUUAUGAAGCAGUUAUUUUGAGAUUGGUGGUAUGAAGCACUGUUCUGACAUUGUUCCUCUUAUUCCGGUACCAGAAGCCAGGUUACUAGUGGUAAUCUGUCUUGAAGAAAGCCUCUGAGCUGUAAAUGGCCCUGGAGGUUUUGAUAGCUUUGAAAAUUGAGGUGUCUUGAAGCCUUCAAUAAAAUAAUUUAGGGAAGGAGUUCCUAUCGAGGCAAAGCGGAAACUAAUCUGACUAGGAACCAUGAGGUUUCGGGUUCGAUCCCUGGCUUUGCUUAGUGGGUUGUUAAGGAUCCGGUGUUGCCGUGAGCUGUGGUAUAGGUCACAGACACAGCUCAGAUCUGAUGUGGCUAUCAUGUAGGCUGGCAGCUGUAGUAGCUCCACUUCAACCCCUAGCCUGGGAAACUCCAUAUGCUACAGGUGCUGCC
ensembl:lncRNA